rnacentral:rRNA from 1 species
GACGAACGCUGGCGGCGUGCUUAACACAUGCAAGUCGAACGGAAAGGCCCUGCUUUUGUGGGGUGCUCGAGUGGCGAACGGGUGAGUAACACGUGAGUAACCUGCCCUUGACUUUGGGAUAACUUCAGGAAACUGGGGCUAAUACCGGAUAGGAGCUCCUGCUGCAUGGUGGGGGUUGGAAAGUUUCGGCGGUUGGGGAUGGACGCGCGGCUUAUCAGCUUGUUGGUGGGGUAGUGGCUUACCAAGGCUUUGACGGGUAGCCGGCCUGAGAGGGUGGCCGGCGACCAUGGGCCUGAGAGACGGCGCAGAGGCCUACGGGAGGCAGCAGUGGGGAAUAUUGCACAGUGGGCCGACGUGUGAGGCAGAGACGCUCCGGGCGUGAUGAGGGCCUGUGGGUUGUAAACCGCUUUCGCCUAUGACGACGCGUGAAUGACGGUAAUGGGUAAAGAAGCACCGGCUAACUACGUG